GUAACAGUUGGUGGACCUACUCCCAUUCCACUUUAGAGUGCCGAUGGGGUUUUGGAGUGAUGGGGGUCCGGACCUGAUGGCCAAGAAAGAAUUCUUGAGACAUCUUUGGUGCAAAAAAGAUGGAAACCAGCGUGUCCACUGGUGAGGCUAACGUUCCUGUGAGCUGGGGCCAGGAAAAGGCAGCAGACAAAGGGAACAGUCAGCCAAGUAGAGUUUGCUGGAGAUUUACGUGGAAACCUCCUCACAGAGGCAGUGCUGCUGGAUUUAUAACAAGGAUGAUAUCAUCCAAACUCGCCGGCAUCCCCAUAGAGGACUUUGAAGAUUACGACUGUCUUCUGUUACUCAGUCUUCCUCUGUCCAUGCUUUCCAUAUUCCUGGUGCAGACGGUAUGUAUAAUAUAUUACUUUUUUGGAAAACAGAAUAAUGUAUAUGUGUGUGUAUAUAUACGUGUAUAUAUAUGCGCAUAUAUAUAUAUACAUAUAUAUAUAUCACUAUAUAUUUUUUCCCCAUGA
rnacentral:lncRNA from 1 species